rnacentral:rRNA from 1 species
GGGGAAUAUUGCACAAUGGAGGAAACUCUGAUGCAGCAACGCCGCGUGAAGGAAGAAGGUUUUCGGAUCGUAAACUUCUAUCAAAAGGGACGAAACAAAUGACGGUACCUUAAUAAGAAGCCCCGGCUAACUACGUGCCAGCAGCCGCGGUAAUACGUAGGGGGCAAGCGUUAUCCGGAAUUACUGGGUGUAAAGGGAGCGUAGGCGGCAUGGUAAGUUAGAUGUGAAAGCCCGGGGCUUAACCCCGUGGAUUGCAUUUAAAACUAUCAAGCUAGAGUACAGGAGAGGAAAGCGGAAUUCCUAGUGUAGCGGUGAAAUGCGUAGAUAUUAGGAAGAACACCAGUGGCGAAGGCGGCUUUCUGGACUGAAACUGACGCUGAUGCUCGAAAGCGUGGGGAGCGAACA